rnacentral:rRNA from 1 species
GAACGCUGGCGGCAUGCCUUACACAUGCAAGUCGAACGGCAGCAUGGAGGAGCUUGCUCCUCUGAUGGCGAGUGGCGAACGGGUGAGUAAAGCAUCGGAACGUGCCGUGUAGUGGGGGAUAACGUAGCGAAAGUUACGCUAAUACCGCAUACGCACCGAGGUGGAAAGCAGGGGAUCGCAAGACCUUGCGCUAUACGAGCGGCCGAUGUCAGAUUAGCUAGUUGUUUGCCUAAAGGCCUACCGAGAAGACGCUCUGUAGCGGGUCUGAGAGGAUGAUCCGCCAC